rnacentral:rRNA from 1 species
AUGCACGCUGGCGGCGUGCCUAAUACCUGCAAGUCGAGCGCACAGACGAGGAGCUUGCUCCUCUGACGUUAGCGGCGGACGGGUGAGUAACACGUGGAUAACCUACCUAUAAGACUGGGAUAACUUCGGGAAACCGGAGCUAAUACCGGAUAACAUGUUGAACCGCAUGGUUUAACAGUGAAAGACGGUCUUGCUGUCACUUAUAGAUGGAUCCGCGCCGCAUUAGCUAGUUGGUAAGGUAACGGCUUACCAAGGCAACGAUGCGUAGCCGACCUGAGAGGGUGAUCGGCCACACUGGAACUGAGACACGGUCCAGACUCCUACGGGAGGCAGCAGUAGGGAAUCUUCCGCAAUGGGCGAAAGCCUGACGGAGCAACGCCGCGUGAGUGAAGAAGGUCUUCGGAUCGUAAAACUCUGUUAUUAGGGAAGAACUAAUGUGUAAGUAACUAUGCACGUCUUGACGGUACCUAAUCAGAAAGCCACGGCUAACUACGUG